rnacentral:rRNA from 1 species
UACGAGGGGGCAAAUGUUGUUCGGAAUCACUGGGCGUAAAGGGAGCGUAGGCGGGUUCUUAAGUUAGGUGUUUAAUCCCGGGGCCCAACCCCGGACCGGCACUAAACAUGGGAAUCUUGAAUAUUGUGGAGGUCAGCGGAAUAUGUCAUGUAGCGGUGAAAUGCUUAGAUAUGACAUAGAACACCAAUUGCGAAGGCAGCUGGCUACGCAUAUAUUGACACUGAGGCACGAAAGCGUGGGGAUCAAACAGG